AUGGCACUUGAGUCCUGUGUAGGAUUCAUUAUCAGCCCUGUUAUGAAAAAUAACCUUCAGCUGUUGUGCACUGGACUUGGGAAGGGAAGAGUCAAGAGUCAGGAUGGUCGUGAGGAGUCUGGUGAGCCAUACCACGUGAUGGAUCUGCAGCACUUUACAGGACCUGCUCUGAGUGAACUCAGGAUCGGUGUUUUGAUAGAUGUCGUCUCUCAAGAGCGUGCUUCAAUUGCUGAGCAGGUCUGUAAAAGGGGAUUGGAAAUGCUGAAGCAGUGCCUAAAGCUCCUAAGCAGGGAUGAGCUGUGCAUUUGCUAUUGGCUAAAUCAAGGGACUUCCUGCUUGGCAUGUGGGGUCUUUGGAUUACUCUUCUGA
rnacentral:lncRNA from 1 species